CCUUUUUUCAAUCCUCCCUGCAAUUGGCUACUUUUAGGAUCCUGCUGAUUGGUGUGUUUUACAGAGUGCUGAUUGGUGCGUUUUACAGAGCGCUGAUUGGUGCAUUUUAUAAUCCUCUUGCUAACUACAGAGCACUGAUUGGUGUGUUUUACAAUCCUCUUGUAAGACAGAAAAGUUCUCCAAGUCCCCACUCGACCCAGGAAGUCCAGCUGGCUUCGCCUCUCACUGGAAUUACAGUUACAGAGGCUGAGAAGUCCAAGAUCAAGGGACCACAUCCAGUGAGAGCCUUCUUGCUGGUGGGACUGAUAUGGUUUGACUGUUUUGUCCCCUAUACAUCUCGUUUCAUGUGACCUCUGAUGUUGGAGGUGGGCCUAGUAGGAGGUGUUUGGGUCAUAGGGGUGCAUCCCUCAUAAAUGGCUUGGUGUGUCCUCACAGUAAUGAGUGAAUUUCAAUCUGUGAGUUCACGUGAGAUCUGGUUGUUCAAGAGCCUGGCAGCUCCUCCCUCUCUCUCUUGCUCCUUCCCUUGCCAUGCCACACGCUGGCUCCCCCUUCAGCUUCUGCCACGAUUGUAAGCUUCUUGAGGCCUCACAGGAGCAGCUGUUGGUGCCAUGCUUCAUGUACAUCCUGCAGAACCAUGAACCAAAUAAAUCUUUUUUCUUUAUAAAUUACCCACCUUCAAGUAUUCCUUCAUAGCAACCCCAAAAUGGACUAACAGAGGGACUUUCUGUAGAGUUCCAAGGCAACAUGGGGUAUCACAUGGGGAGGAGAAUGAGCAUGCUAACAUGCUUGCACAGGUCUUUUUUCCUCUUCUUAUACAGUCACCAGUUCCCCUCCCAAAAUAACCCAUUAAUCCAUUUACCCACUAAUCCAUUAAUCUAUGAAUGGAUUAAUCCAUUCAUGAGGACAAAGCCCUCAUAAUCCAAUCACCUCUUAAAGGCCCCACCUCUUAAUAUUGCUACAUUGAGGACUAUAUUUCAACACAAGUUUUGAAGGAGACAAAUAUUCAAACCACAGCAAAUACAUUCUCCAAACCAUACACAGAUCUAUCAGCAAAGAGUGGGGACCUAACUGGCUUGAGAUGUUUGAACCAAACCUCUGACUAAUCUUUGGCUGACAAAAUAUGCUGAAACAAGAGUAAUUCUAGAAAGCCUCUCUUUAAAAAAUGUGAGUGCAGACAUUAGCAGCCUCACAUUGUAGUGGAGACAAAUUCCACAGAAUUAGUCCAGACAAGUGUAUCAUACAAACAGCAACCCCCUUUGGGGCAAAUCACAAUGUAGCAUUCCUAUAACAUAAUGUGUACAAUGCCAGUUUUUUUUUGUUUUUUUUUUUGAGACAGAGUCUCACUCUGUUGCCAGGCUGGAGUGCAGUGGUGCAAUCUCGGCUCACUGCAACCUCCGCCUCCUGGAUUCAAGCAAUUCUCCUGCCUCAGUCUCCUGAGUAGCUGGGAGUACAGGCGUGCUGGCGCCCGGCUAAUUUUUGUAUUUUUAGUAGAGAUAGGGUUUCACCAUGUUGGCCAGGAUGGUCUCUAUCUCUUGACCUCAUGAUCCGCCCGCCUCAGCCUCCCAAAGUGCUGGGAUUAUAGGCAUGAGCCACUGCACCUGGCCAGCAGUGUGUUCUUUACUUAGGAAACAAGUCAACAGAAAUCAUCUUUGAGUAAUCCCAAACAAUAGAUUUAGCAAAGACUAUUUUAAAUAUAUUUCAAAGAAAAGAGAUCACAUUUAAAUAAAGUAAUAAAUGAUUACAAGUAGGGUUUAUUACAGGCAUGCAUGGCUGUUUCAAUAUUUGAAAAUCAAUCAAUCUAAACUACCAUGUGGAUAGGCUAAGAAAAAUCACAUUUUGUUUUGUUUUUCUUCCCAAGAUGGUGGAUUGGAAACAGUGUCAGCAUGACUCUCCCACUUGGAAAGACAAAAUGGGCUUAAUUAUUAGAUAAGGAUACGUUUCCAACUGAAGGUGGCAACGUUAUGCUGGAAGAACAUGUCAGGAAGACCACAAAAUUUCAUGACUGUACUUGCUACACUUUCAGCAGAAGAGUUAUACAUAUUUUCAAUUCAACAAAGAUUAAGCCAAAAAGAAUUCUUAGAACAUUCCCACUCUUCUUUGGCACAUCAAAAGGCAACAAAUGUCAUUUUCUCCCAUGUUUUUAUGUGCAGUUUAGAACAAAGACCAAUUAUCUAUGCAGCUGUCCACAGUGGAUAAAACAAAAAGCAUACAUUUGGUCCAGAGUUAAGUCACCUGGGUUGGGCCCAUCCAAGGAAGUUUGAUGUUUCUACUCUCAUGAAAAGUACCAAUGGCACUGCACAGUGAUUAUCUUAGAUAUUAAGGAUAAACACAAAUUUCUCCUUAAAUUUCCAUUUAUUGGAAAUGAUUGGAGGGAGGGAACUUCUCCCUCACCUCCACACUGCCUCUUUUCCAACUCUUCUUCCAACACAAAAUAGUUUAAACAGCAAGCACUUAGAGAGCUUUUAGCCUUGCUUGUUGAUUACAAGGCCCAAGUUAGUGUAUGGUUUGCCCAUCGGAGGAAAGCUAAAACAUGGGCCUUCAUGGGUAUUAAAAUUGAAGAAACCUUUUCCAGCAUUUUUUCUAUUUUCUUUAAAGUAACAACCUAUGGACUUCCCCAUCUGACAUUUUCGAGUGAUCCCACUGUGUGAAUGAAGGACUACUUCAGGGUUUGAGGGCAAAGCUGAAAUCUUAGCAACUUACCAGUGAGCAAAGGUAGAACCCAGAGCCCAUCUCUCCUUUUCCAGGCUGCUGAGUAAAGUCUGGCUCAAUCAACCUAUCAAUGAAGCAGUGCUUACAACAUUCUCCAAGACCACCCAAAACCCAAACUGGAAAUGAAUCAUGACUAAUCUGACUCAUUUUGGCUCACACAGUGCCCUUCCAAUUUGUAUUUACCUUUACCACCCAGGACCUGACCUUGGACAUGUGUACCAGGAUGUAAGGCAAUAAACCUAUUCACAAUUCCAAAAGGGCCUGGUCCUCUAUGAAGAUUUCCUGAAGGCUACUUACUUUCUCUACUCAUUAAAAUUUUUGCUUAACUUCAAAUUUCUGAAAUAUACCAUAUGUGAAAAAUUUAAAUGUUAAUCUGUGCCUACUGUACUACUUGAACAGAGAAAAUUAACUGAUAAACUGUAAAUACAAAAUGUCAAAAUUAAUUCUUCUGAGUUUUAAUAUCAUCUAAAUAAAAAGAAAAUAAUGCAGCAAGUCUACUCCUCAGGGAAGGCAAUAGAUUGUAUAGUUAUCUCCUGAACAGGGUAAAAUCACUACCCCACAACUAUACAAUCUACUACCUCACUCUGAUAGAGCAAUGUUUUCUUCUGGAAUGGAAAGUACAAUCUCUUUCGAAAGAAAAUUUCAACAUAAAAUUAUCAGCAUAAAUCAAAAUAAAAAAAUACAUUUAUUCUGACACAGAGAAAUAAGACAAGAAGCAAAAGGUUUCCCCACCCCCAUCCAGUGUACUUGCUACAGACUUUAUCUCUAAAUUAAUUUAUUUCCAGGCCAUAAACAAAUGCUGCACUACAUCUCUUUAAGACAAGUUAAUCUUAAAUAUUGUACAAUUAGUUAACUGACUUUCUAUCAGACCGCCUGGAUGCAGACUUUUCUAUCACGUUAGGAAAGACAGUAGAUUGUAUAGUUAUCUCCCAGUGGUGGGUGUGACCCUAAAACUAUACAACCUACUACCUCAUCCCACAGUGAAGAGAACAUCCAGGGUGAAUGGUGAAAAGGAAUCACAGUUGAGCACCACAGGAAGGCUUUUUUUCCUCCUCGGUAAUCCUGGUUUCCUGUGUGAGUGAUAAGAAAAAUAGUAUUAGACCAUUUUCAUUCACUUACGUUGAAAAUGAAGUUUAACUGAACAUUUUGGCUACAUGCAUAAUCUAUGCUGUGGUUUCAUUUCCUGUAUUUCAUUAAUAGUAUUUUAAAUGCUUGGUUAUCUGAAUCCGCUCCUAAAACCAUGUAUUUACAAGAUUCAGAAAUC
rnacentral:lncRNA from 1 species